UACGUAGGGUGCAAGCGUUGUCCGGAAUUAUUGGGCGUAAAGAGCUUGUAGGCGGUUUGUCGCGUCUGCUGUGAAAUUUCGGGGCUCAACCCCGAACUUGCAGUGGGUACGGGCAGACUAGAGUGUGGUAGGGGAGACUGGAAUUCCUGGUGUAGCGGUGAAAUGCGCAGAUAUCAGGAGGAACACCGAUGGCGAAGGCAGGUCUCUGGGCCGAUACUGACGCUGAGGAGCGAAAGCGUGGGGGAGCGAACAGG
rnacentral:rRNA from 1 species